rnacentral:antisense_RNA from 1 species
UGAUAUAACUUAGUCAUUAAAUGCAAGUCUGGCCAUAAACUUAUAUCUAUACCAAUUUGCUUGUUUCAGAAAUAUUUUUUUGCACCUUGGUUAGUUUUGUAAUUGAAGUAUUAAACAACUAUUGCAGUUUUUGACCUUGGAGCCGCCUAUGGUUAUGGGUGCAGUACAGCCUGUUCGCCUAGUCUUUUUCUCUGAAGUAAUUUGAAGGGAAUACAUUGUUGUGGUGAUAGCACAGAAAGAGGUUAGAAAAGAUACCGAUGGUUUUCUUGCAAGUCAUUUAGCUGUUGUCUCAAGCUCGCAGCCUCAUGUUGCCAAAGCUGAGAGUAGGUAAACAAUGCAGAUAAGUUCUGAUUUCAUUUUCAGCUACAGAUUCAGAAGGUAGAAAACAAACGAAAUAUGUAAAUUUUGUGCAGUUUUGCGUCAUUGUUUUUGUCCACCUGUGGGGCAUUCGUUGUUGACGAUGAAAGUUAUGUUUCAAUUUCAUUCUGACAAAUAAUGUGCGUCAAGCAGUUGAUAAUAUCAAAUAUGAAUGGUGUUGUUCGCU